AGAGUUUGAUCCUGGCUCAGAUUGAACGCUGGCGGCAUGCUUUACACAUGCAAGUCGAACGGCAGCACGGGGGCAACCUUGGUGGCGAGUGGCGAACGGGUGAGUAAUACAUCGGAACGUGUCCUGUAGUGGGGGAUAGCCCGGCGAAANAUUAAUACCGCAUACGCUCUACGGAGGAAAGGGGGGGAUCUUAGGACCUCCCGCUACAGGGGCGGCCGAUGGCAGAUUAGCUAGUUGGUGGGGUAAAGGCCUACCAAGGCGACGAUCUGUAGCUGGUCUGAGAGGACGACCAGCCACACUGGGACUGAGACACGGCCCAGACUCCUACGGGAGGCAGCAGUGGGGAAUUUUGGACAAUGGGGGCAACCCUGAUCCAGCAAUGCCGCGUGUGUGAAGAAGGCCUUCGGGUUGUAAAGCACUUUUGUCCGGAAAGAAAACACUCCUUUUAAUACAGGGAGUGAAUGACGGUACCUGAAGAAGAAG
rnacentral:rRNA from 1 species